rnacentral:rRNA from 1 species
UACGUAGGGUGCAAGCGUUACUCGGAAUUACUGGGCUUAAAGCGUGCGCAGGCGGUGAUGUAAGUCAGAUGUGAAAUCCCCGGGCUCAACCUGGGAACUGCAUUUGUGACUGCAUCGCUGGAGUGCGGCAGAGGGGGAUGGAAUUCCGCGUGUAGCAGUGAAAUGCGUAGAUAUGCGGAGGAACACCGAUGGCGAAGGCAAUCCCCUGGGCCUGCACUGACGCUCAUGCACGAAAGCGUGGGGAGCAAACAGG